rnacentral:piRNA from 1 species
UAACUGGGCCAACUUGAGACCUAUCUCAUA